UAGUCCACGCAGUAAACGAUGAGUGCUAGAUUAUUGGAUUUAUUCAGUGUCGAAGCUAACGCGUUAAGCACUCCGCCUGAGGAUUACGAUCGCAAGAUUAAAACUUAAAGGAAUUGACGGGGACCCGCACAAGCGGUGGAACAUGUGGUUUAAUUCGAUGAUACGCGAAAAACCUUACCAGGUUUUGACAUAUUAGUCGUACGGUUAAGAGAUUAACUGGUCAGUUAGGCUGGACUAUUACAGGUGUUGCAUGGCUGUCGUCAGCUCGUGUCGUGAGAUGUUAGGUUAAGUCCUGUAACGAGCGCAACCCUUACCGUUAUUUGCCAUCAGGUAAUGCUGGGAACUAUAACGGAACUGUCGGCGAUAAGCCGGAGGAAGGUGGGGACGACGUCAAAUCAUCAUGGCCUUUAUGCCUAGGGCUACACACGUGCUACAAUGGCAGGUACAGAGGGUUGCGAAGGGGUGACCUGGAGCUAAUCUCAGAAGGCCUGUCCCAGUUCGGAUUGGAGU
rnacentral:rRNA from 1 species